UAAGAACAGGUCGACAUGGUAGAAAACACCUCCGUAAGAACAGGCCGACAUGGUAGAAAACACCCCCGUAAGAACAGGCCGACAUGGUAGAAAACACCCCCGUAAGAACAGGUCGACAUGGUAGAAAACACCCCCGUAAGAACAGGCUGACAUGGUAGAAAACACCCCCGUAAGAACAGGCCGACAUGGUAGAAAACACCCCCGUAAGAACAGGCUGACAUGGUAGAAAACACCCCCGUAAGAACAGGCCGACAUGGUAGAAAACACCCCCAUAAGAACAGGCCGACAUGGUAGAAAAC
ensembl:lncRNA